ACCUAUAAUUUUUUUUUUUUUUGGACUUCUAUUUUCCCCAGCUUCCAAUGGAAAGAGUUGGAUGCGGUAUCGUUCAAGGGUAAAGAAGCGAAGUGCAAUAGAUUGAGGCCAAAACUGAAAAUGGGCUAAAUCCAUUCCAGGCUUCAUCACCGAUGUUCUCAACCAAAGCAUCAGCUGAAAUAAAAUUUCUUAUUAAAAAUAGCAUCAGGGGAUGCACUUCAUCGCCCCCAGCAUCAUCUUCUUCAUUCUCAGAAAAUUGGAUGAACCGUAUAUUCAUACCCUCUCUCCUUGCAGGGAUUGCUUGCAGAGGAGAUGGGUUGGAGUUUUUUCUGCUAUUUGCCAUUGUUACUGGUUGCUAUUGCGGUAAUCAUAUCUCAUCUCUCUCACUGUAUGAUCUAGUCGCCCAGUCACAAUUAUCGUUCACGAAUGUGUUUGGGUUGUGAACUUGCAUCAUCUCCCAGUUUGUUUUGUGGGAUUUUCGAUGGAAAUUGCAUGUAAGAGGCUCUGGACUUUUUAACUUCUUAGGAUUGGAAGAAUGUCUUUGCACUUGAACUCUCCAAUUUUGAAUAUUGAUUUGGUGUGUGAAAGAAUGCACCAUCCGUUUAAUUACCUCCAGAUUUCAUUGACAUCCCGGAAAAGAUUGAAAGUAGGCUUAUAUUUUUAGUAUUCACACAUUCAAGCAUUCCAAGUAAUACCCAUAAGGUGGUUUGAUUUUCUUUUGUUGUGAGGAUCCUUUGACCCCAUAGGAAUUGUAAGCCAUUUCUUUGUAUGGGACACACUUGUUGCACUCAUGUUGGUAGUCAAUUCUGUGGAUAUGGUUCUCUGAAACUUCAAUCAACAUUUAGAAGCUUCUAAUUGUAACAGUGUCUGGGAACAGCUUAUUCCUCUUUGUUCGAGGAAUGUGUUAUGGCCUGAAAAUAUGGUGAUUGUUGCAUGACAUGCAAUCUAAUACUGUAAAUAUGAGUACACAAAUCGGCCUAGGUGGAGCCUUUUACCCUAGCAUUGGUCUGUAAAGCAUGAUAUAGAUUUGAAUAUGGGCCAUCAUUGUUGGGUUCAAAGCAUGUAAGUCAAAUGUGAAACAGCUGGUUGUUUGAAAAUUACAUAGACAAACUGGGUUUUUGUAAAAGGACAAGCUAUUUUUCUGAGACCUGUUUGUGUGGCUUAGAGGUGUGUUUUCUUUGAUUCGGCAGGGGCAAGUGAAUUUGUAAGGGUAGCUUGGUAAUCAGAAUCUGGUGAUCUAAUGAACUCUGCAAUUGCAGGGUUUGGUAGUGGUGCUCUUCUUGGACGUCUUCAAGGUGGUCAAUUUGGUGCCUUUCUGUUACUCUUAUCAUCUUUGUUGCUGUGGGAACAAUGGUGGAUUUUGCUGUGAUUAAGCUAAGACCUUCCAUGACACGUUUCAGAGAGGAAAGGUAGUUGGUCAAGUUACCAGAGUGGUCUCCCAUUGAAGCACUUGAUGAGGAAGCUCUUGCCUACUAAAGAAGCUAGGGAAAAACAACUCUAUGCGCAAAGAGCUCAUGGUAAAUUAAGCAGAGUGAGAAAACCUAGUUUGAACCUGAAUUUUGUUGACCUAUAUAGUGUAUUUAUUUGGCAUACUUUAGAAUUGGCUAGGAUGAACUAAUUUCGAAGCAUUUUAGGAGAAGGCAGGGAUUAUGUUUUGAUGAUCCCGUUGUUUCUUUAUUCUAGUAUUUGCCAUCGUUGAUGUGCCUGAAAAAUACUUGUUGUCCAUCUGUACUUCAUAGUUCAUACCAAUGUUUACGAACUUAAAUUUCUUUGUUAAGUACUACACUAAUGAUAUUUAUUGGCAAACGGGCUCAAGACAAUCUAGUUGACUAGUCC
rnacentral:misc_RNA from 1 species